rnacentral:rRNA from 1 species
UACAGAGGUCUCAAGCGUUGUCCGGAUUUAUUGGGCGUAAAGAGCUCGUAGGCGGUUCGGUAAGUCGGGUGUGAAACCUCCAGGCUCAACCUGGAGACGCCACCCGAUACUGCUGUGACUUGAGUCCGGUAGGGGAGCGUGGAAUUCCUGGUGUAGCGGUGAAAUGCGCAGAUAUCAGGAGGAACACCAGCGGCGAAGGCGGCGCUCUGGGCCGGAACUGACGCUGAGGAGCGAAAGCGUGGGUAGCAAACAGG